rnacentral:rRNA from 1 species
UACGAGAGGCCCAAGCGUUAUUCGGAAUUACUGGGCUUAAAGAGUUCGUAGGCGGCAUGAAAAGUAGGGUGUGAAAGCCCUCGGCUCAACCGAGGAAUUGCGCUCUAAACUGUCGUGCUAGAGGAAGCUAGAGGUGAGCGGAACUGAUGGUGGAGCGGUGAAAUGCGUUGAUAUCAGCAGGAACACCGGAGGCGAAGGCGGCUCACUGGGGCUUUUCUGACGCUGAGGAACGAAAGCCAGGGUAGCGAACGGG